CCCAAAAUCUAGCCCACCAUCUAUUAUUAUUCAGAACCAAAAACAAAGCAUUUCCACCUUUUAGUAAAGGCGAUUAAAAAACUCAUGGGCGCUUCAAACCUAGUACCGCAAGGGAACAAUGAAAUAUUAAUGAAAUAUCCUUAAGCCUUAAAUAGUAAAGCUCAACCCUUGUACCUUUUGCAUCAUGGUUACUCUAGCUCAACCAGACAAAUCAUAACCUUUAGCCUGACUCCCCGAAACUGGGUGAGCUACUUUAAAAUAGCCUUCCGGGCAAACCCGUCUCUGUAGCAAAAGAGUGGAAUAAUUUUUAAGUAGAAGUGAAAAACUUAUCGAACCCAGAGAUAGCUGGUUAUUCAAGAAGAGAAUCUUAGUUCUACCUUAAGUUUUCACAUUAACACAAACAGCACCUCAAACUUAAGAGCUACUCAAAUAAGGGAUAGCUUAUUUGACCCAGGACACAACCUCACACAAAGGGUAACUUAUUAAAUUUCUAUCAAGCGGGCCUGAAAGCAGCCAAAAAAGCGUUAAAGCCUAAUACCACCUUACAACUAAUUCCAUCAAUUUACAUCAACCCUCAACCUUUAUUGAAUGACUCUAUCAACCCAUAGAGGCCACUAUGUCUAAACUAGUAACAAGAAUAUGAAAUUCUCCUCAAUGUAAGCCUAAGCCGCAACGGACACACCAACGGCAAUUAAAGUUAAUAGAUGCCCUACAAUAACCCCUCAAAAAACUUGUAUUAAAGAACGUUAACCUAACACAAGUACACUCCAGGAAAGAUUAAAAAAGGGGGAAGGAACUCGGCAAAUCUUAACCCCGCCUGUUUACCAAAAACAUCGCCUCUUGAUAACCCAUAAGAGGUCCAGCCUGCCCAAUGAUUAUUUAAAUGGCCGCGGUACCCUAACCGUGCUAAGGUAGCACAAUAACUUGUCCUUUAAUUGUGGACUAGUAUGAAUGGCACCACGAGGGUUAUACUGUCUCCCCCCUUCAAUCAGUGAAACUAACCUCCCCGUGAAAAGGCGGGAAAUAUACUAUAAGACGAGAAGACCCCAUGGAGCUUUAGACUAAGAACACGUUUAAUUUAAUACACCACUAAAAUUUUAAAUUCCUGACUCCGAGUCUUCGGUUGGGGCGACCAGGGAGCACAACACAACCUCCCUGCCGAAUGAACAAAAUUCUAAUCCAAGAAAUACAAUUCUAAGAAUCAACAAACUGACGCCUACUGAUCCUAAACUGAUCAACGAACCAAGUUACCCUGGGGAUAACAGCGCUAUCUACCUCAAGAGUUCAUAUCGACAGGUGGGUUUACGACCUCGAUGUUGGAUCAGGGUAUCCCUGUGGUGCAGCCGCUACAUAAGGUUCGUUUGUUCA
rnacentral:rRNA from 1 species